UACGUAGGGGGCUAGCGUUGUCCGGAAUCAUUGGGCGUAAAGCGCGUGUAGGCGGCCCGGUAAGUCCGCUGUGAAAGUCGGGGGCUCAACCCUCGGAUGCCGGUGGAUACUGUCGGGCUCGAGUACGGAAGAGGCGAGUGGAAUUCCUGGUGUAGCGGUGAAAUGCGCAGAUAUCAGGAGGAACACCUAUUGCGAAGGCAGCUCGCUGGGACGUUACUGACGCUGAGACGCGAAAGCGUGGGGAGCAAACAGG
rnacentral:rRNA from 1 species